UAGCUUAAUGGUAGAGCACUUGAUCGGAAAUCAAAGGAAUGUGAGUUCGAUUCUCAU
rnacentral:tRNA from 1 species